GACACAUGAUUUAUCAUGACUUUCUCCUUUCUUUCCUUUCCUCAUUUCUUGGCAGAAUUCUCUCAGAGCCCCCAAAUCUGAGUCUCUCCAUUUCGGGAGGUUGGGAUGGCAGAGACUGAGGGUUGUGAGGUGGCUAGGGUGUUGCCAGCCGAAGAGGUAAUGUUCCACAUGUUCUUGGGAGACCAGGAGCUUAGCCCCUUCCUCUCCUGGGAGGGAGACACAGCAUGGGCCAAUGCCACUGUUUGGGCCAUGGAGACUGGUGAUCAGGAGCUGUCUUGCCUUGUAUCUCUGGGACAGAUGGAGUGAAAACAAGAGAGCCAGUACAUGUCUAUAGCUUCCCUCUACCAAUCCUGGAGAUAAAAGAAUUGUACCCAUUGGCGGGGAGAGACAUUAACGUGACCUGCUCAGGGCAUGUAUUAACAUCACCCAGCCCUACUCUUCGACUUCAGGGAGCCCCAGAUCUCCCUGCCCCCGAGGAGCCUGCCUGGCUUUUACUUACUACCAGGGAGGAAGAUGAUGGCUGAAAUUUCUCCUGUGAGGCUUCUUUGGAGGUUCUAGGUCAGAGGUUCAUCAAAACUGCUGUGAUCCAGCUCCGUGUUUUAUGUGACUAGAGGCCUGAUCUUGUGAAAACAAGGAUUUUUAGUCUCCCAUUUUCAGAGAUGUUGGCCAGCAGCUUCAUUAUUAGAGUUGCCACAGUUUUCUCAUUAAAAUGAAAAAAUCAAAGGAGAAAAUAAAAUUACAGCUCUCCAAGAUCACGUUACCUCCAGGAAAACAAGCCACGGUUUGAGGAAUCUGGUUGCCCUGGCAACCAGACAUGGGUGGAAGGGACAGAACAGAUGCUUGCCUGCAUCGCAGAGGGAAACCUGACUCCAACCUUAAUGUGUACCUGGAGUGGAGUGAUCUUUGACCUUGAAGUGCCACAGACGGCAACCCACAACCACACUGGAACCUACUGCUACACAGCCACAAACCAGCUGGGCUCUGUCAGCAAAGACAUUGCUGUCAUUGUUCAAGGUGACUGCAGCUCCCCUGCUGCCAGGCCCAGGAUGGAAAACCUCCAGGGACUUGGGAUUCUUAUCCAAAAAUGGAAAGAAGAAAGAUUUCAGUGGGCUGGGGAGGGUGAGACUGAGAAGUGGGCUUGGUGGGCUGGGUUGGUAAUUCUUCAAGGGUAAUUCUCUUGCCCUUGAACUCUCCCAAUUCUCUGUCUUCUGUGCUUGGGCAGGCCUGGAAGAAGGAAUCAGCUCCAUUAUCUUCAUCAUUUAUUGUCACCCUUGAAGUGAGUGUAAUCACCAUGGGCAGUGUUUUUGAACUAACAGCCCUGCAAAAUAGACAGGCGGAAAUUGCCCUAUAGGCAGAAAGGAAGAACAAAGAGGAGGAAAGCCAGUUUGCUGUUCAACAAACAGAAAAGUGCAUCGUACAUAAUUGUUGAAUAGAAACAGCUGUUUGGUUGAAGGUGCCCUCUACUACUGGGGUUUCCUAAGGGAGGGAAGAUCGGGUAGAGAAGAAGGGAAGAGACGUUACUCUUUGUAUUCUGCAGUCCCAUAAAAACAAGUGUUUCAGGCCCCCAUGUCUUUUGUAUCCAAUGCAUCUACAGACUCAGCUCCUCUGAAUUCACUCUAGUCACUAGGAAUUUCAGUCUGAAUGUUCACCUCGUGAGAGGGCCUCUUGCUCCUUGCUGUGUGCUUAAUCAGUCCACUCUUAGAUUCAAAAAAGAAGAUCCUGCCCUUGCCUCAUCAUCCCCAUUCCCACUGCCCUUUGCUCCCAAACAUCAGACUGAAGAGAUAGUCAGAAAUAUCUCGGAAAUGCAAUUCAUUUCUCAUGGUUUCCUCAUGACUAAGUGGGAACCAGUUUCUUAGUCCGGGGACAGGACUUCAAAGGGAAUAAGUACCAAACAAAGCAAUAAGAAUCAGAACCCUAUUCCCGCCUACACAUUCCCCUGCUCCCCUAACUUGGGGUUCUGGAAUGCCGCUCCCAGAGCAGAGCUUGAUGACAUCAUUAAGGGUGGCUGGUUAGGCUUCAGCUCACUAACCAUUGUGUGCCAUGGAGGAGUAUAAAAAUCAUAAGAAAUUCCGUUUGGGGUUAUACAGGCAGGUUGCCUACCUAGCCCAGUGAUCUGUCCCUGAAGUAGAUGGUAGAAUUCUUCCAUGAAAUUGGCCUCAUGGGUUAAGGGCUCCAAACAUCUCUAAAUUCCUGUUCAUGAUCCAUUAUAGAGUAAUCAUCUUUGAGUUCACCUUCAACAUAUUAAUUUUUUUUACCUAUAUAGGCCCUUAGGGUAGAGUUCCAAUGUUUAU